rnacentral:rRNA from 1 species
UACGUAGGGUGCAAGCGUUGUCCGGAAUUAUUGGGCGUAAAGAGCUCGUAGGCGGUCUGUUGCGUCGGCUGUGAAAACCCGAGGCUCAACCUCGGGCCUGCAGCCGAUACGGGCAGACUAGAGUUCGGCAGGGGAGACUGGAAUUCCUGGUGUAGCGGUGAAAUGCGCAGAUAUCAGGAGGGAACACCGGUGGGCGAAGGCGGGUC